rnacentral:rRNA from 1 species
GUAGGGAGUGGACUUAGGCAAAUCCGGGUCCAUAAUUCUGAGACGUGACGACGAGCACCCUUUACGGGAGCGAAGUCAUUGAUGCCAUGCUUCCAGGAAAAUCUUCUAAGCUUCAGGCUAUUUGAGACCGUACCCCAAACCGACACAGGUGGUCAGGUAGAGAAUACCAAGGCGCUUGAGAGAACUCGGGUAAAGGAACUAGGCAAAAUGGUGCCGUAACUUCGGGAGAAGGCACGCCGGCGGUAUGUGACGCCCCUCGCGGGUUGAGCAGAAGCCGGUCGAAGAUACCAGGCCCCUGCGACUGUUUAUUAAAAACACAGCACUGUGCAAACUCGUAAGAGGACGUAUACGGUGUGACGCCUGCCCGGUGCCGGAAGGUUAAUUGAUGGGGUUAGCAUUCGUGCGAAGCUCUUGAUCGAAGCCCCGGUAAACGGCGGCCGUAACUAUAACGGUCCUAAGGUAGCGAAAUUCCUUGUCGGGUAAGUUCCGACCUGCACGAAUGGCGUAACGAUGGGGGCGCUGUCUCUACCCGAGACUCAGUGAAAUUGAAAUCGCCGUGAAGAUGCGGUGUAUCCGCGGCUAGACGGAAAGACCCCGUGNACCUUUACUAUAGCUUCACAGUGAACUUUGAACAUGUUUGUGUAGGAUAGCUGGGAGGCUUUGAAGCGUGAACGCCAGUUUGCGUGGAGCCAACCUUGAAAUACCAGCCUGGCAUGUUUGAGGUUCUAACUCUGUCCCCUUAUCGGGGAUGAGGACACUGUGUGGUGGGUAGUUUGACUGGGGCGGUCUCCUCCUAAAGCGUAACGGAGGAGCACAAAGGUGGGCUAAGUACGGUCGGACAUCGUACGGUUAGUGUAAUGGCACAAGCCCGCUUAACUGCGAGACAGACACGUCGAGCAGGUACGAAAGUAGGUCAUAGUGAUCCGGUGGUUCUGUAUGGAAGGGCCAUCGCUCAACGGAUAAAAGGUACUCCGGGGAUAACAGGCUGAUACCGCCCAAGAGUUCACAUCGACGGCGGUGUUUGGCACCUCGAUGUCGGCUCAUCACAUCCUGGGGCUGAAGCCGGUCCCAAGGGUAUGGCUGUUCGCCAUUUAAAGUGGUACGCGAGCUGGGUUUAGAACGUCGUGAGACAGUUCGGUCCCUAUCUGCCGUGGACGUUGGAGAUUUGAGGAAAGCUGCUCCUAGUACGAGAGGACCGGAGUGGACGAACCGCUGGUGUUCCAGUUGUCUCGCCAGAGGCAUUGCUGGGUAGCUACGUUCGGACAGGAUAACCGCUGAAAGCAUCUAAGCGGGAAGCCCCUUCCAAGAUGAGAUCUCCCUGAGGCCUUGAGCCUCCUGAAGAGCCGUUCAAGACCAGGACGUUGAUAGGUCGGGUGUGUAAGCGCUGCGAGGCGUUGAGCUAACCGAUACUAAUUGCUCGUGCGGCUUGACUAUAUAACACCCAAG